rnacentral:rRNA from 1 species
ACCCUUUGUGACAUACCUAUAACUGUUGCUUCGGCGGGUAGGGUCUCCGCGACCCUCCCGGCCUCCCGCCUCCGGGCGGGUCGGCGCCCGCCGGAGGAUAACCAAACUCUGAUUUAACGACGUUUCUUCUGAGUGGUACAAGCAAAUAAUCAAAACUUUUAACAACGGAUCUCUUGGUUCUGGCAUCGAUGAAGAACGCAGCGAAAUGCGAUAAGUAAUGUGAAUUGCAGAAUUCAGUGAAUCAUCGAAUCUUUGAACGCACAUUGCGCCCGCCAGCAUUCUGGCGGGCAUGCCUGUUCGAGCGUCAUUUCAACCCUCAAGCUCUGCUUGGUGUUGGGGCCCUACAGCUGAUGUAGGCCCUCAAAGGUAGUGGCGGACCCUCCCGGAGCCUCCUUUGCGUAGUAACUUUACGUCUCGCACUGGGAUCCGGAGGGACUCUUGCCGUAAAACCCCCCAAUUUUCCAAAGGUUGACCUCGGAUCAGGUAGGAAUACCCGCUGAACUUAAGCAUAUCAAUAAGCGGAGGAA